rnacentral:rRNA from 1 species
CGUCAUGCUGGACUUAGGUAGCAAGCGGGACAACCAAGAAACUAGGGGCUUCCGGAAGCAACCAGAUUUCCUUCUUUAUUUUCGGGGGUUUCGGGACCUGCGGAAAAACCCCCGUCUAUCUACGGGCCACCAGCCGCGUUAAUACGUAGAGCGCAAGCUUUGCCCGAAAUAAUGGGGCGUAAAGAGCUCGUAGACCCCUUGUCACAUCGGAUGUGAAAGCCCGUGUUUAAUCCCCGAGUCUGCUCUCGAAAGGGUUGUCUAUAUUUUUGUAAGGGAUAUCCCAAUUCCUGUUGAGCCGAUAAAUCCGCACAUAUUCGGAGGAACACCCGGUGGCGAGGCGGAACUCUGUCAUUACUGAGGUUAGGGAGGGAACGGGGGGGAGGUAAAGGAUUUUAUACCCCCGUAGAACACCGCUUUAACUUGUGACUUAUGGUUGGGGCAAUUCCCCGGCGGCGGGGGCGCCGCAAACGAUUUAUGUGCCCGCCUGUGAGAAAGGGCGCAAGAUUAAAACUCAAAGAAUUGGGGGAG